CCUUUUAAACAACCCAAAGCAUCUCUUUAUAACAUUCCUAGCCAGGAGUGCUUUAUGUUCAAAAACUCAUGAGCACUUGUGGGUUGUUGACCUUAUCUCUACUCAUUCAAAUGGUAUCUUUGUCCUCUCGAAGGAGCCAAAAAGCCUUUAGCAUUGGUAUAUCCGGCAUCACAUAGAUAGUGGUUACCUAUAUAUAAUAGAUUGUAGUAUUUACUUUCAAAAUAAAUAGCAAAUCAAUUUGGAUGAGAUUUUGGGUAUUCUAUUUAUCAUUUUUUAAACUUACCUUGAGGUACCUUUAAGCC
rnacentral:lncRNA from 1 species